AUUUAUGUAGUUUAACAAAAACAUUACAUUUUCAAUGUAAAAAUAAAAAUUUAUUUUUCAUAAAUA
rnacentral:tRNA from 1 species